GGUUGUGAUCAUACCAACACUAAUGCACCGGAUCCCAUCAAAACUCUACAGUUAAGCGUGCUUAGACGAAAGUAGUACUAGGAUGGGUGACCUCCUAAUUAGUCAUCGGCAAUCAUUCUUU
rfam:Gossypium arboreum cultivar AKA8401 contig_35669_1, whole genome shotgun sequence.